GCGACAGAGCGAGACUCCGUCUCAAAAAGAAAAAAAAAGAAAAAAAAGAGGGCAGGAAGAGGAAACAACAGUUGCGGAGCUGGACUUGAUGGAAGGGAGCAUUUGCGUGCGGCGCGCAGGGCACUGAGUCACCAUCGUGGCCGCGUCCUCGCGCUCUCCUAGCGAUUUCUCCGGAGAAAGCGGAGCAAGGUCAGCCGGGCAGCCCUUCAAGGACGGCGCGCCGCUCCUGCAUGCUGAUGGCCUGCGGGGCUGCCUGCCCGUGCCCCGGCGCCCAACUCCUACAAGGAAGAAAUUCAGGGGCUCCCCGCCCCCGCCACAGUCCUCUUCCCCCUCCCCAGCUGCAACUCGGCAGCCGUUCGUCAAAGACCCUGUUGUCACCGAGACACUGGGACCUUGUCUCAUCCUUGGAACCACUCGUAAAUCUUAGGUCAGGCAGCCGGCAGCCUUCGGGGACCACAGUCCCCCCAAAGCUUUAGGAAGCCAGUUACUACAUCCGGAAAGAUUCGUGCUUCAGAACGCAAGCCAGGGAGAAUAAUCACAGAAACGCAAUGCGAAUGUCGUGCCUCUCAGAAAUUCUUAGCCUGAAAUACCGUCCCCACCCCCCAACCCGGCCAGGCGACAGUCCUGUCAUCCUAACACCGCAGAGGCUCCAAGCGCUGGGAGUCGUGUGCCCGCGGCGCUCGCCACUGAGGCCGGUUGGAAGAUUCUAGGGUGCCCCUUCCCAGGUUCCAGCAGGCACUCCGGGAUGUUCUAGAGUCAGGCCAGGGAUUCAACAGCGAACCUGACCGAAACUCAAACCUCAGCACAAGAACUUUGAUGGGGGAAGUGCCCAGACUCCAAUACUCUCGACCUUGGCAUUUAGUAGUUUCUUCUUUGAACUGGAAAGAUCAAAUAAUGCACAGUAAAAUCUCAUGAUAAGGGUUCCACCAAGAAUUCGGGAUUUGUGUUAAUUCAUAAGGCAGAAGUGGCCCCUGUGCUAUCCAUGAAGAGUUUCUGUAUUUCUCUGCAAGGUCACAGGUAGGCUUUUUAACCAAUUAAAGAAAAACUCCAACAUUUAGAGGGCCCAUUAUUAUAAUAAUUCCUGUAUUUGUUUGCUGUCUGGCACAUAAAAACGUGCUUCACUUGCAUAUAUUAAUGAAUUUUCACCUCCUAGCCCCUGGCUAACCCAUUUUACAGCUGAAAGGACUAAAGCAACAGAUGCCCAAAGUAACUCACCUAGCAACAAGUCUUGGGAUUCUGAGAUGAGGUUCUUUCUCCCACACACACAGGCAGGCUGGCUUCUUGGGAGUGGGACUUGUUCAUUUGUCCCCACCACCACCAUUGAUUUUGACUGAUUGCUCCACUCUUGCUGUCUUCAAACUUUUGAACAAGGGGGUUUGCAUUUCUCUUUGCACUGGGCCAAAUUAUGAGGUAGGUCCUACACACAGGCUCCAAGAUGACAGUACUAAUUUUUCACUAAUUUUUCUCUACUUGGUGCUCAAGUGUAGAGUUUGAGGGGUACUAUCAUCUUCACUCCAGGCAAGGCACUGUUGUUUCUUUUGUAUUCCUGCUUAUUCUCCACCCCAUCAGGUGCUCACUCUGAUACCUGUCUUUGAGUGCUGUUUUCUUGGAAAAACAAAUCUAUUUUCAAGAAAUGAAUCAAAAUUAUCCUAAGAACUUUUUAAUUGCAAUAUAAUGCAUUUACAGAAAAGUACACAAAUCAUAAAUGUUCAGGUCGCUGUGUUUUCACAAGCUGAACACACCCAUGUAACCAGUACACAGAUCAAUUAUCGGCCCCCAGGAGUCCCCUCAUGUUCCUAUCUGGUUACUAUGUACUCAAGAGUAACCACUGUUCUGAAUCCUAACCCCAAAGAUCAGUGCUUCCUGUUUUGUGUUUUAUAUAAAUGCAAUUAUACAUUAUAUAUUAUUUUGUGUCUGCCUUCUUUUGCUUAACGUUGCUAUGAGAUUUAUCCAUGCUGUUGCAUGUGGUGGGCAGAAUUACAAGAAGACCCCCAAGAUUCCUCACCCCUUCUUGUAUGCACAUUCCCAUAGGUAUUGAUCUAGGCGCUGCUGUGAAGGGAAUUUGCAGAUGUAAUUGGCCUAAAUCAGUUGGCUUUAAUAUCAGGAAAUUGUCCUCAGUGGGCAUGGCCAUAUGGAGCCCUUACAAGGGACUGGGCUCUUCCUGGUGAAAAAGAUUUGAAUCACGAGAGUGGCUGAUAUGAGGGAAAUUCUUUGCUGUUGCCUUCGAAGACAGAAGAGGUCCACAAGGCAAAGGAUGCAGACAGCCUGUAGGAGCUGAGACUGGCUCCUGGCUGACAGCCAGCAAGGAAAUGAGGACCUCAGUCCUCCAAUCAUGAAGCAGACUCCGACUUCUGCUAACAACCUGAAUACACUUCAAAGAGGAUUCUGAGCUCCAGCCGCCUACACAUUGAUUUCAGCUGUUGGGACCCUCAGCCGAGAACCCAGCUAUGCCGUGCCCAGAUGUAAGACCUACACAUCUGUGAGCUUCAGGAGAAUGUGAGCAUGGCACAUGGCAAUCCAGAAAAAAGACUGCAUUUCCCAGCCUCCCUUACAGCUGCUGAGACCACAGGGCUAAGUUCCUGCCAAUGAGAGGUAGGCAUCAAUUUGCAACUUACAGGAACCUUUCUGAGGAGGAUUAGCCUUUGUCCCUCCUUUUCCUCCCUUCCUCCAUCCUGCUGCUUGGUUUGUGAAUGCUGCUACCUUAGACCAUAAGGACAGAAAACAUGUCCCGGGACUGGCAGAGCAGUAAGCCAAAAGGAACCAGGGUCCCGUAAGACGAUGGAGCAGAGCCUUUUUACCAGCCCUGGAUAGCAAAGUUCUAAACAAAUAUAUGUCUAGAUUAUUUAAGCCACUGACAGCUUGGGUUGUCUUGGUAUUUGUGACAGAAACUAAUACUAGUUCAAUGGCUUUUGAGUAGAGCCCUAAAAGAAAUGAGGGAGCAAAGCAUGUAGAUAUCUGGAAGAAAAAGCAUUCUAAGAGGAAAAAAAAAACAAGGGUAAAAGCUCCUGAUGUGGGGUCAUGCUCAGAGUAUUUGAGGAACAGCAAGGAAGCUAGGGUGCCUGGAAUAAAGGGAGAAUGUUAAAAAAUGAGGACAAGAAGUAUUGAUGGAGGGUUCAGAUGAUAAUAGGGUUAUUUUUAAAGUAAAAACUGGUUCAUUCAUAUAAAAUAUGUACAUAACCAUGUAUAUUUUGAAGAAUAAGGAAAACAUCUUUGUAAUCACCACCAAGGUAAGGAAAAUGUUGCCAGGACCUUGAAGUCUUUCUCUGUGGCUCAUCCUCUUCCCUGCCCCAGAAACAACCACUAUCUCCAAUUUUUUUAUAAUCAGCAUGUAGCUUUAUUUUAUAGAUGCAAAACCUACAUAUAUUUCUCUUGAUGAAACUGCUGGGUCUACUGGGUGUGCACAUGUAUAAAUUUACUAGAUAAUGCCAAACUUUUCCAAAAUAGCUAUGCUUAUUCUACCAUAGUGAAUUAAAGUUCCCUUUGUCCUGCAUUCUCAGUGCUUUUAGAUUUUAAUUAAAAGUGUGUAAUGACUGAAAUGUACACUUUAAAAUGGUUGGUGGUAAAUUUUAUGUGUCAUACAACUCAGACAAAAAAGUGUGGAAUGGCAUCUGUUUCUGUUUUUCCCUGUACUGAGAUUAAAUAUUUUUUUACAUUUACGAAGAUUUUCAGAUACCUCCUAUGUGAAUUGCCUGUUCAGUCUUUCACCCAUUUAACAUUUUGUAGUCUGGCUGGGUGCAGUGGCUCACUCCUGUAAUCCCAGCACUUUGGGAGUCCGAGGCGGGCAGAUUGCUUGAGCUCAGGAGUUUGAGGCUAGCCUGGGCAACAUGGUGAAACCCUGUCUCUACCAAAAAUACAAAAACUUAGCCGGGUGUGGUGGUGCGUGUCUGUGGUCUCUGCUACUUGGGGAGCUGAGGUGGGAGGCUGCAGUGAGCCGAGAUUGCGACACUGCACUCCAGCCUGGGUGACAAUGAGACUCCAUCUCAAAAAAAUAUAUAUUAAAAAAUUUUUAUAGUCUGUCUCUUAAUUCACAGGAAGAUUUUGUAUUUUCUGAAUUCUAGUCCUUUGUAUGAUGAAUGUUGCCAAGUAUCUCCUCACAGCAUAUAGUCAGUCUUUUCGCUCUUUCUGGUAACUUCGGAGGAAACUUUUUUGACAGGGUCUCACUGUCAACCAGGCUGGAGUGCAGUGGCCUGAUCACAGCUUACUGCAGCCUCGACUUCCCCGGCCCAAGUGAUCCUCCCACCUCAGCCUCCCAAGUAGCUGGGACGACAGGCAUGUGCCACCAUGCCUAGCUAAUUUUUAAAUUUUUUGCAGAGACAGAGUCCCUAUGUUACCCAGGCUAGUCUCGAACUCCUAGGUUCAAGCGAUCCUCUUGCCUUGGCCUCUCAAAAUGCUGGAUUACAGAUGUGAACUAUCUUACUCAAAGCAGGAGGCAGUCUACAGAGUAAAAUCAUAAAAUAAAUGCAGAAAAAGCAUUUGAUACAAUUUAGCAUCCAUUUACCUAGGAAUAGGAGCGAAUUUUCUUACCUGAUGAGGGUUAUCUCUUAACUACAUUAAUCCAUUAACAAAACAUUGCAUUCACUUUUAUUUUUAAUUAUUUAUUUAAUUUUGGAGACAGGCCAUGACAUCCAGCCUGCAUUCAGUUUUUCUGAGGUAAAACCAUCAUUAAAUUCCUGGGAUAAAUCCAACAAAUCAGUAUUUUGUUAUCCUUUUUAAAACUUCAUAUUCAGUUUGCAAGUAUUUCAAAUUUUUAUAACUGUAAUUAUCAGUGAUACUAGCUUACAUUUUUUCUUUUUCAUACUAUCCUUGUUGAGUUUGGUGUCUCAAACUCCUGAGUUCAAGCCAUCCUUACCCUCACAAAGUGUUGGGAUUACAGGCAUGCGCCACCAAGCCCGGCCACGUAUAACUUUAGGAUGGUUUUACCUAGUAAUAAUUCUGUGGCUGUUUUGUUUGAUACUAAUACAACUACAUCAGAAUUCUCUAGGUUACAAUUUGCUCAGUGUAGCUUUUGCUAUCUUUUAAAUUUCAACAUUUAUUAUUCUUAUGUUUUAUGUCUUUUAUAAAUAGUAUAUUAUUUAAUAUUUGAUCAUCUUUGUCUCAUAACUGGAGCAUUUAGUCUAUUUUCACUUAGUGUAAAAGUGGUCAACAUGCAAGGACAGAUGAAAACUAGAAGAGUCAAAGGCAAAAGCUAGAAAUCAAAACACCAUCAUACAAACGAAGAAUCCCAUCAAUGAGCUCAUCAACAGACUGGACCCAGCUGAGGAAAGAGCUGAUGGACUUGAACAAAUGUCAGUAAAAACUGUCAAAACUGAAAUGCGAAGAGGAAAAAUGAAAAAAUGCACAACAAAAUAUUCAAGAGCUAUGGAACAGUUACAAAAAGUGUAAUACACAAAUGGGAAUACUAGAGGGAGAAGAAAGGGAACAGAAGAAAUAUGUGAAAUAAUAACAGAGAAUUUCCCAACAUUAGUGAUAGACACACCACAGAUCCGAGAAAUUCUGAGAACACCAAAAAGGGUAAAUACCAAAAAAGUCUACACUUAGGCAUAUGAUAUUCAAACUGCAAAAAAUCAGACAAAGAGAAAAUCUUCAAAGAAUCCAGAAGAACAAAACACUCUACCUAUACAGGGGCAUAAAUAAAAAUUACUUUGUACUUCUCUUCAGAAACCACGUAAGCAAUAAAAAAGGACUAAUAUACUUAAACAUCAUACCGGAAAUCUUAGCUAAUGCAGUAAGAUAAGACAAGGUAUGCAGACUGGGAAGAAAGAAAUGAAACUUUCUUCACAGAUGGCAUGAUUAUUACGAUUAUAAAGAAAAUCAAAAAGAAUUGAUGGGGAAACUUCUGAAACUAAUAAAUGAUUACAGCAAAGUUGGAGAAUACAAAGCUGAUAUAUAGAAGUCCAUUGCUUUCUUAUAUAUAAGAAAUGAACAGUUGGAAUUUGAAAUAAAAACACAGUAUCAUUUACAUUGGCAUCAUUUACAUUAGUAUUUCAUUACCAAAUGCAAUACUUAGGUAUAAACCUAACACAAUAUAUCUACAUGAGGAAAGAUCUACAUGAGGAAAAUUAUAAGACCCUGAUGAAAGAAAUCAAAGGACUAAAUAACUAGAAGAGAUAUUCCAAUUCCAUGUCUAUGAAUAAGAAGACAAUAUCAUCAAGAUGUCAGUUUUUCCCAACUUGAUCUAUAGAAUCAACACAGUUCCAGUCAAAAUCUCAGCAAGCUAUUUUGUGGAUUCCUACAAAUACAACAAUGAAGAAGAACAAUGUCUGAGGACUGACUCUACGUGACUUCAUGACUAACCAUAAAGCUAUAGUAAUCAAAACAGUGUAGUAUUGGCAAAAGGUGAGACAAACAGAUCAAUGGAACAGAAAAGAGAGCUUAGAAAUAGACUCUCAUAAAUACAGUCAACUAGUUUUUUUUAAAUUUUUAAAAUUGUUUUAUUUUUUGAGAUGGAGUCUCGCUCUGUUGCCCAGACUGGAGUGCAGGGGCAUGAUCUCGAGUCACUGCAACCUCCACCUCCCAGGUUCAAGUGAUUCUCCUGUAUCUGCCUCCUGAGUAGCUGGGACUACAGGCACGCACACCCCCACACCUGGCUAAUUUUUGUAUUUUUAGUAGAGACAGGGUUUCACCAUGUUGGCCAGGCUGGUCUCGAACUACUCAUGUCAAGUUAUCAGCCCGCCUCAGCCUCCUAAAGUGCUGGGAUUACAGGCACGAGCCACUGCAUCUGGCCCUGAUUUUUGACUAAGGAACAAAGGCAAUGGAAAAAAGAUAUCUUUUCACCAAAUGGUGCUGGAACUGGUAAGCCACAUGUAAAAAAUAAGUCUACAAACAGACUUCAUCCUCUAUACAAAAAUUAACUCAAAUUGGAUCAAAGUCCUAAAUGUAAGAGUUAAAAUCUAUAAAACUCUUGGAAGAAAAAAUGAGGGUAAGUCUUCAUGACCUCGAAUUUGGUUGGCAGUGGAUUUUUAGAUAGAAAACCAAAAGCAUGAACAACAAAGAAAAAGACAGAUUGGAGACUUCAUCAAAAUUUAUGUGUGCUUCAAAGGAUAGUAUCAAGAAAGUGAAAAGGCAAUCCACAAAAUGGGAGAAAAUGUUUGCAACUUUGUAUUUCUUAAUGAGGGCCUUUAUCUACAAUAUAUGAAAUACUCUUAAAACUAAAUAAUAAAGUCAGAUAGCCCAAUUAAAACAUAUGCAAAGGAUCUGAAUACAUAUUUCUCCAAAGAAAUAUACAAAUCACCAGGCUGGGCACAGUGGCUCACACCUGUAAUCCCAGCACUUUUGGAGGCUGAGAUGGGCGGACCACUUGAGCCCAGGAGUUUGAGACCAUCCUGGGCAACUAUCUGUACCAAAAAAUUAAAAAAAAAAAUUAGCUGGGCAUGGUGGAAAAAAAAAAGCCAGGUGUGGUGGUGUGCACCUGUAGUUCCAUCUACUCAGGAGGCUGAGGUGGGAGGAUCACUUGAACUCAGGAGGUGGAGGUUACAGUGAUUGAGAUCAUGCAACUGCACCCCAGCCUGGGUGAAAGAGUGAGACGCUGUCUCUAAAAAAAGAAAGAAAAAAAAUACAAAUGACCAAUAAACACAUGAAAAAAAAUGUUCAACAUCAUUUGAUAAAUGAUCAUUAGAGAAAUACAAAUCAAAACCAUAAUCAGAUAAUAUUUCCAACCCACUAGGCUGGCUGUAAUAAAAAAUAGUAGUAACAAAUGGUGAGAAUUGAAGAAACUGGAACCAUCGCAUAUUGCAGGGGGUAAUUUACAACGGUAAACAGCCACUUUGGAAAAGCCUGGCAGUUCCUCAAAAUGUUAAACAUGGAAUUAUAUAUGACCCAUCAAUUCUACUCCUACGUAUAUAACCUAGAGAAAUGAAAACAUAUGGAUACAAACACGUGUACAUCAAUGUUCACAGCAGCAUCACUUAUAAUAGCCAAACUGUGGAAACAAUCCAAAAGUCUACCAGCUAGUGAAUGAAUAAACAAAGCAUGGUAUAUCCAUACAAUGUUGUUGUUAUUCGGCCAUAAAAUGGAAUAAAAUACUGAUACAUCUACAGCAUAGAUGAACUUUGAAAACAUUAGGCUAACUGAAUAAAGCCAGUCACAAGACCACAUACAUGAUUCCAUAUGAAGUGUUCAGAACAAGCAAAUACCUAGAAACAGAAAGUAGAUUAGUGGUUGCCUAGUGUUGGGAAGUGUAGUGCAAUGAAUGGGGAGUGAUUGCUAAUGGGUAUGUAGUUUCUUUUUAGGGUAAGAAUAAUGCACUAAAACUGAUCGUGGUGAUGAUUACACAAUGCUGUGAAAAAUACUAAAAAAAGCAAUAAACCAUACACUUUAAAUGGG